rnacentral:rRNA from 1 species
AGAGUCUUGAUCAUGGCUCAGAACGAACGCUGGCGGCGUGGAUAAGACAUGCAAGUCGAACGCGACUUGGGGCUUCGGCUCCAAGUUGAGUGGCGAACGGGUGAGUAACACGUGGGUGAUCUACCUUCGAGUGGGGGAUAACGUCCCGAAAGGGACGCUAAUACCGCAUGACGUUCCGGGUUUAAAGACCUGGAAACCAAAGCCGGGGACCGCAAGGCCUGGCGCUUGGAGAGGAGCCCGCGUCCGAUUAGCUAGUUGGCGGGGUAACGGCCCACCAAGGCGACGAUCGGUAGCCGGCCUGAGAGGGCGGACGGCCACACUGGAACUGAGACACGGUCCAGACUCCUACGGGAGGCAGCAGUGGGGAAUUGUUCACAAUGGGCGCAAGCCUGAUGACGCAACGCCGCGUGGGGGAUGAAGGUCUUCGGAUUGUAAACCCCUGUCGAAUGGGACGAAA